GACGAGGUGGCUGAGUGGUUAAGGUGCUAUACUGCUAAUCCAUUGUGUUGUGCACGCAUGGGUUCAAAUCCCGUCCUUGUCG
rnacentral:tRNA from 1 species